GUAACGAGCGCAACCCCUGCUGCCUGUUGCCACCACGAGAGGUGGGGACUCAGGCGGGACGCCGGUGACAAACCGGAGGAAGGUGGGGACGACGUCAAGUCAUCAUGGCCCUUAUGUCCUGGGCUACACACGUGCUACGAAUGGCCGGUACAGGGCGCAGCGAGGCCGCGAGGCGGAGCGAAUCGCUUAAAGCCGGUCCCAGUACGGAUUGGAGUCUGCAACCCGACUCCAUGAAGUUGGAAUCGCUAGUAAUCGCGCAUCAGCAUGGCGCGGUGAAUACGUUCCCGGGCCUU
rnacentral:rRNA from 1 species